rnacentral:lncRNA from 1 species
CAACACAAGAAAUCCUUCAUUCAAAAGGUCCAUUAGGCCAACUGUGCAAAACAUACUGUUGCUAAUAAUGGUAUAGAAGUACAGAAUAAUCUUUCUGAACAAUAUGAAAAACCAACUAAAACAUUUACAAUCACAACAUGUUUAGCGAAUUUUGUGUACUUAAUAAAUUAUGGUGGCAGUUAAACCUAAAUUCCAUAAAGAUUCAAAAUUUU